rnacentral:rRNA from 1 species
UACGGAGGGUGCAAGCGUUAUCCGGAUUCACUGGGUUUAAAGGGUGCGUAGGUGGGCGAGUAAGUCAGUGGUGAAAUCUCCGGGCUUAACCCGGAAACUGCCAUUGAUACUAUUCGUCUUGAAUGUUGUGGAGGUAAGCGGAAUAUGUCAUGUAGCGGUGAAAUGCUUAGAUAUGACAUAGAACACCGAUAGCGUAGGCAGCUUACUACACAAAUAUUGACACUGAGGCACGAAAGCGUGGGGAUCAAACAGG